GAUCCUGGCUCAGGAUGAACGCUAGCUACAGGCUUAACACAUGCAAGUCGCGGGGUAACAUCUGGUAGAGCUUGCUCUUCCAGGAUGACGACCGGCGCACGGGUGAGUAACGCGUAUCCAACCUGGCCCAUACCACGGGAUAGCCCGUCGAAAGGCGGAUUAAUACCGUAUGCUGUCAUUAAGAUGCAUAUAUUGAUGACGAAAGGACUGGCGGUAUGGGAUGGGGAUGCGUCUGAUUAGCUUGUUGGCGGGGUAACGGCCCACCAAGGCGACGAUCAGUAGGGGUUCUGAGAGGAAGGUCCCCCACAUUGGAACUGAGACACGGUCCAAACUCCUACGGGAGGCAGCAGUGAGGAAUAUUGGUCAAUGGGCGCAGGCCUGAACCAGCCAAGUCGCGUGAGGGAAGACGAUCCUACGGAUUGUAAACCUCUUUUGUCGGGGAGUAACGUGCGGGACGCGUCCCGUAUUGAGAGUACCCGAAGAAAAAGCAUCGGCUAACUCCGUG
rnacentral:rRNA from 1 species